rnacentral:rRNA from 1 species
GGAAUCUUCCGCAAUGGACGAAAGUCUGACGGAGCAACGCCGCGUGAGUGAUGAAGGUUUUCGGAUCGUAAAACUCUGUUGUUAGGGAAGAACAAGUACCGUUCGAAUAGGGCGGUACCUUGACGGUACCUAACCAGAAAGCCACGGCUAACUACGUGCCAGCAGCCGCGGUAAUACGUAGGUGGCAAGCGUUGUCCGGAAUUAUUGGGCGUAAAGCGCGCGCAGGCGGUUUCUUAAGUCUGAUGUGAAAGCCCCCGGCUCAACCGGGGAGGGUCAUUGGAAACUGGGGAACUUGAGUGCAGAAGAGGAGAGUGGAAUUCCACGUGUAGCGGUGAAAUGCGUAGAGAUGUGGAGGAACACCAGUGGCGAAGGCGACUCUCUGGUCUGUAACUGACGCUGAGGCGCGAAAGCGUGGGGAGCGAACAGGAUUAGAUACCCUGGUAGUCCACGCCGUAAACGAUGAGUGCUAAGUGUUAGAGGGUUUCCGCCCUUUAGUGCUGCAGCAAACGCAUUAAGCACUCCGCCUGGGGAGUACGGUCGCAAGACUGAAACUCAAAGGAAUUGACGGGGGCCCGCACAAGCGGUGGAGCAUGUGGUUUAAUUCGAAG